UGCAUUCACUACUGUAAGUCACUCUGGAUAAGAGCGUCUGCUAAAUGACUAUAA
rfam:Salmo salar isolate Sally breed double haploid chromosome ssa22, whole genome shotgun sequence.